AAGCACUCUGUGUGGGGAACAUGAGAGCCAGACCAAAGCUCAGAGGAACCAGCCUGGACCUCCACCCAGCUCUGUGUCCUGUAAGAGUGACUGGUCUAAUGGUCACAUCGUUAAUUUUAAAGUCCAGCCUGUGUCCGCUGCAGAGAGAGGUCAGAGGUCACAGUCUGCAGGAUCCAGCUGUCCGUCUGUGAGGAGUGACUGGUCCAAACAUCAACCUCCAAAGUUCAGUGCUGAACCUGGACCAACGAGGUCAGAGAACUGUGAUGACUCCUUUACAUGUUUGUGUUUUCCUGGAUAAAUAUGACCAAAGAUUCAUUAAA